rnacentral:rRNA from 1 species
CCUACGGGUGGCAGCAGUGGGGAAUAUUGCACAAUGGGGGAAACCCUGAUGCAGCGACGCCGCGUGAGUGAAGAAGUAACUCGGUAUGUAAAGCUCUAUCAGAAGGGAAGAUAAUGACGGUACCUGACCAAGAAGCACCGGCUAACUACGUGCCAGCAGCCGCGGUAAUACGUAGGGGGCAAGCGUUAUCCGGAUUUACUGGGUGUAAAGGGAGCGUAGACGGCAGCACAAGUCUGGAGUGAACUCCCGGGGCUUAACCCCGGAACUGCUUUGGAAACUGUGCGGCUGGAGUGCAGGAGGGGUAAGCGGAAUGCCUAGUGUAGCGGUGAAAUGCGUAGAUAUUAGGAGGAACACCGGUGGCGAAGGCGGCUUACUGGACUGUAACUGACGUUGAGGCUCGAAAGCGUGGGGAGCAAACAGGAUUAGAUACCCGAGUAGUC